UACGGAGGGUGCGAGCGUUGUCCGGAAUCACUGGGCGUAAAGGGCGCGUAGGCGGCGCGGGCAGUCAACGGUGAAAGCUUGGGGCUCAACCCCGAGUCGGCCGUCGAUACUCCCGGGCUGGAGCACUGUAGAGGCAGGUGGAAUUCCAGGUGUAGCGGUGAAAUGCGUAGAUAUCUGGAGGAACACCGGUGGCGAAGGCGGCAUCCUGGACCAAUUCUGACGCUGAGGAGCGAAAGCCAGGGGAGCAAACGGG
rnacentral:rRNA from 1 species